rnacentral:lncRNA from 1 species
UUGUGAUCUUGGUCCAAACCUCUUUUUCCUCUCACUGAAGGAUUCUCCCAGCAACCUCCAAGCAACCAGUCAAGAGACGCUGCCCUGAAUUUUUGGUCCUCAGCUAUAGAACAAAGAAGUCUUUGAGGUUUAACAAGAGGCUGCUCAGCUCUCUGGCCCCUGGGCUACUAAGAUCUAGAUUGGGAGCCUGGACUGCCACAUGUGUAAGGGACGGAGCCUCGGAUCAGGGCUGCCAGCUGGUGCCCUCCAAAGGCAGUAUCUCACCUCCUGCCCACCCUCCUCCCAACCCUCAGGAGGGUGCUUGCAGUGAGAUGAGAUGCCGCAGGGAAUAAAAACCACCAGCACCCCCUCAGCGUCCCUCCACUGUGUCAGGAUCACAGACAUCUCAGAGGUAGGAGAUGUUGGGCAGCAGUCAAGAAAAAGUUCACCUCUCCAAGCUUUACCAUAGGCAACUGGCCACCACCCCUCCUCACUCCAGCGGUUUGAAUGGUUUGCUCCUAACUGUGCCCUCUGCAUUUGCCUUCAUCCAUCUCCAUUCUUCUUUACGGUCAACAUGCCAGGACCCUACAUCUUCUCCCACAUCAGUUGUUCACAGGGGCUCCUUCCCAUGGAGUUCUGUCUAAUGGCUUCCCAAACCUGAGUCUCAUGGACAUGUCCACUCUUCUUGUCCAAUAUCUCAGGAGCCUUGAAUACUGCUGACCACUAUGGUUGUAGGGUGGUGGUAGGGUGGUGGUAGGAUGGUGUAGGGUGGUGGUAAGGUGGUUGUAGGGUGGUGUACAGUGGUGGUCAGGUGGUGGUAAGAUGGUAUAGGGUGGUGUAGAGUGGUAGGGUGGUGGAAGGAUAGUGUGAUAGGGUGGUGGAAGGGUGGUUGUAGGGUGAUGUAGGGUGGUGGUAGGGUGGUGGAAGGGUAGUUUUAGGGUGGCAGGGUGGUGGUACAGUGGUGGUAGAGUGGUGGUAAGGUGGUGUAGGGUGACGGUAGGGUGGUGUAGGGUGGUGGAAAGAUAGUGGUAGGGGGGUGUAGGGUGGUGGUAGGGUGAAAAUAAAGCUACAUGUAUAUAUUGAGGUCUGGCACACAGUGUUUAAAACAUGUUAGCUCUCUCUUCCCUGCGUACUCUCAAGAGUGUAUGUAUGGUGUUGAGUGUACCCUGGGCCCUGGCUCUGGGUCAUUCAGCAAUGACUGAGGAGGGCUGGAAACAAGGAGGUGCCUGUGGAGAACAAAUCCACUUCUGGUUACUGGUUUGAGACCUGGUAACAGUGGCCAUCCCCGACCUUCUUGGGCUGCCAUCUUUGAAGACCACCAUCCCUAAGGUGAACAGAGAUGGUUCAGAGAUUUUUCCUUUAUCUUUCCAUAGAGGAAGUACAACCAGAAGUUGGGAUGAGUCGGCCUUGAGAUGGAAGAGAUUUGAGAUACCCCACUUUUCCCAGUGACUGCUUUGAUAAGCAGACAGUCUUCCUUUCUCUUUCCUUUGAAGAUUUUGGUCCAAUUUGCAAAGGAGCUAGUAUCCCAGUUGUUUUAAGAAUGUAUAGUCCUGGAGGCAGACACCAACUGAGAAAAUG